ACUUGAACUUGAGACUCCUGAAACCGACAAGGUGGUUCAGAAUUCCUUGGAGGAGCUGGGGAGAUGGUAUCAUCUCUGUCACUUGUGGGACUAAAGACCAUUUCAUUUUGCCCAGCAAUAGCCUAGAAUCUGGCACCUGUAGGACUAAAGACCGGGAAUAGCCUGGAAGAAGUGGGUGGGGAGCGCCAGGCAGGGCAGACCAGAUCGCAAAGGAAAAAACCCUGGCGUGCAAGCACCGAUAGGAGAGGAAAUGUUUGCUCAGCUGUAAAGGAGGGAGAGAAAAGGGAGAAAGCACAGGCGGCGUGGCAGGUCUUGUUUCAGUGAGAAUGUAAAGUACGUGAGCUAUGUGCUUUGUGAUGAAGUCGUUGAUUUAUUUCACUUUGGAACAAGCACACCACAACAAAGUGAGAAUGAGAAGAUGGAGUCUCACUCUGUCGCCCGAGCUGGAGU
rnacentral:lncRNA from 1 species